CAGCCUGGCUCGUGGUUUCCCCUGGUGCCGGGGAGUGGAGGCGAGUUGUGCUUCCUGCUGGGAGAGAGAAGGGCCUUGGGAAGCUGCUCCAUGAGCCACAGCUGUGCCGAGCCCGGGAGUCUGUCCAGCAGGAUGUCGAGUGCCACCGUGUCCCUGAGGUUCCCCUUUCUGCUGUUGGGAGAGCACGAGGUGGAUGGAGAGGAUCCCCAGCCAUCUGCAGGCAAAAGGGACUCGCACAACUGCGAUUUUUCUCCAGGUCUCUUAAGGUGGACUUUCAGGGUACCAUGGGAGAAAACCUGGAAAGCGGGAAGGAAGAAAAGAAGCCCCAUGACUCCUCCUGAGCCCCAGACAGCCCAUGAACUGCCUUCCUGGGAAUGGUAGGACGGGGUGGACUCUGGAUUGCUCCCUCUGGAUGUGUGGUAAGACUGUUAUGCCAACUUCUCAAACAGCCUGUAAGCAUUUGCUGCCUUGGCUAGAUGGUGCAAGGGCAACAUUUAAGCAGCUGAAGCAUUCCCUGAGGAGAGCUCUGGGUCUGCCAGAUGUGUCAGAACUGUUGGAAGCAUCUUUGGUGGGGAGGGCAAACAAAGGCCAAGGUGUGCAGUGACCCCCCUGAGA